CGUUAAUGUGCACGGCGGACACAAAGUAGCUGUCUAUUCAGAUUCGUAGCUUGGUGCUCCUACCAAGGUGUUGGGUUAAGUGGAACGUAGCAAAUAUGAACAGCAAGAAUCAGUAACCGGACGGACGCCAGGAAUUUUACCUAUAUAAAAAUGAUAUUAAAUAUGUUAAAUGUUGGGAGCAGAUAGAAAGGAAACAACCUUCAUCGUGGUUAAUUAUGAUGUGACAAUCCCUUAGUACUCGUCUCCGGCUUCUAGAAGAAUUCCCGAGUUCAGUAGACUGCACUUCUAGGUCCUUAACUUAAACUAUUUGCAGUCAUGACAGGAAUGAGCAUGACAGAAGUAUAGCAAAAUAAACACAGCGAUGACUGUUUUUUUCAGCACAGCAUUUUAUCUCAGCUGAUUCUUCAUUGAACAAUUGACAUGCAUGAAACAAACUCAGCUUUGGAAUAUGAAUGACUUACCUAGAGCUUAGAUAAGUAAACGAUACGACAGGCAGUUCUCUGUAUGAGCGUGAAUGCAUGCUAUGGUUUCAAUUCACAGUAAAAACAUGAAGUAUUAUGCUCGGCUUUCAAUCACAGUGCAAGAUGAUGUCAGAAAAUAAAACGUAACCCUACUGUACUAGAAAAGGUUUGCAUUAAACACUCCCUUUUCACCAAACACAAAGUGACAACAGAAUAAGGCUCAUUUGCAUUCAGCAUAAUCAAACAACAGCACCAAAUCAGUCUCUGAGAUUCCUUUAGAUUAUUUUCUCAUUACCUAAACAAAGAUUAAACAAUCAGGUUUAAGAAAAA